rnacentral:rRNA from 1 species
UAAUUGAAGAGUUUGAUCAUGGCUCAGAUUGAACGCUGGCGGCAGGCCUAACACAUGCAAGUCGAGCGGUAACAUUUCAAAAGCUUGCUUUUGAAGAUGACG